GGACACAGCCUUAAGCUGUGCCAGGGGAAGUUUAGCUUGGACAUCAGGAAAAAAUUCUUCACUGAAAGAGUGAUUGGGUACUGGAAUCUUCUGCCCAGGGAGGUGGAGGAGUCACUGUCCCUGGACAUGUUUGAGAAAAGACUGGGCAUGGCACUCAGGGCCAUGGUUUAGUUGAUGAGGAGGUGUUAGGUUAGGUCAUAGGUUGGACUUGAUGAUCUCAAAGGUCUUUUCCAGCCUGGCUCAUUGUGUGAUUCUGUGAUCUGCACCUCCCAGAGGCGCUGGGCAGGGUCUGACAGCAGGCGUGGGUUGGGAAAUCAACAUCCAUCUUUUUCAUAUAGGUGUAUAAAUAUCUCCUAAUGUGGAAGUGGCUGUGUCUCCGUGUGGGGUGGGGGGAUCUGCAUGGGUUUUCUUUUGAUUCACCAGGUGAGGGAGAGGUGGGGUGACUACAGAGACUGUGGAAGUGAGGGCUGUGGCUGCCCUGAUGGCUUUGGCAGUCAGGAGGAGCCGUGGUGUGGAGGUCAGGUCAGUGUCUGCAGUAGAGAACUCUGAAGCCAUAACUUUUAACUGGAGUGGUUUUGAUUAUUAUUAUUUUUUUAAUUAUUAUUGUUGUUGUUAUUAUUAUUAUUAUUAUUGUUUUCUGGGAGGGUCUGGAUUUUAACUUUUUUGAAUAUUGUUAAUUCUUUCUAAGAGCAGAAAAACAAUCUCUAAUUAUUACCUCUUGACCUGUUGGUUUGUAAAGAAAUCACUGAAAAAAAAAAAAAAAAAGAAAGAAAAAACCAAAUGCACAGCUCGAUUUACACUGGAACUGUUUCUACUCUGACCUUGCUCCUGCUCUCUAAGGUGAGGUUUCAUCUCUGCUCUGGCUGCCAGGGUUGUCUUUAUUUCAGUCCCUCUGUUCUUGCUGUCUGUCCCUGUCCGUGUGUCCCUCUCCCCGAUUCCCCGUGUGUCCAUGACCUUGUACAAAGUGAGGAGUGGGUUUUGAAUCAUGUUAGGAGCUGGUUUGCACCCCCCAAGGAGGUUUUGGGAGUGUGGAUCUGCCCUGGGGGCAGGGCUGGGGCUCCCCUGUCCCCUCCCAGCUUGUCCUGAGUCAUCUCAGCCCGAGCUUCCCAGCUGCCCGUGUCCCUUAAACCUGAGUUCAGGAGCCAAGGGGGCACCUGCAGGCCCUAAAUGUAGGUUUAGCCUAGUUAAACCUGGACUUGGAAGCUGAGGGGGGCACUUGAAGCCCUAAAUGUCAGUUUAACUCUGUUAAACCUGGACUUAGAAGCUGAGGGGGGCACUUGAAGCCCUGAAUGUCAGUUUAACUCAGUUAAACCUGGACUUAAAAUCUGAGGGAGUCACUUCCAAGCCCUAAAUAUCAGUUUAACUCUGUUAAACCUGGACUUGGAAGCCGAGAGGGGCACUUGCAGGCCCCAAAUGUAGGUUUAUCCCAGUUAAACCUGGACUUAGAAGCCAAAAUGUCCGUUUACCCCAGUUAAAGCUGGACUUGGACCCCGAAGGGGGCACUCGAAGCCCUGACUGUCAGUUUACCCCAGUUAAAGCUGGACUUGGACCCCGAAGGGGGCACUCGAAGCCCUGACUGUCAGUUUACCCCAGUUAAAGCUGAUUCAGAAGCCGAGGGGGGCACUGGAAGCCCUAAAUGUCAGUUUACCCCAGUUAAAGCUGAUUUAGAAGCCGAGGGGGACACUGGAAGCCCUGGGCACUCCCAGGCCGUUGGAGCAGAGCCGGGCUGGGAGCUGGGCAGGGCAGAGGGGCCUGGCACAGCUCUGGGUACUGCAGGCUCCCCCCUGGCACUCCCCUGGGUGCCAGCAGCUCUGAAACUCGCACUGAACUCGCCCCCUCCAACUGUAGCCACACUGCACCUGCCUCAGCGCCAAACCAAACAGGGCUCAGGAAGGGAAGGAUUUUAGGGAAAGCCUUGUUUCCCUGAAAGGAGAGAGAUGGGGAAAAGCCAGCAGGAACCAACGCUGACCAUGUAGCAUUUUCACAGCACUUUUCAUGCAAACCGGUGCCCGGGGGCACCAGUGCUUGCCGAGCUGACUGAGCACGUGGGAAUUGCUGCCUGCCUCCAAAAAGUUGCAGCAGCUCUGGGGAAAAAAAUAAAAAAAAAAUAAAAAAACAAGCAGCAUUCCACCAGGCAGUUCCGAGGGGAAGCAGGUGCAGGACAAGGAGGGGGGGUCCAUCAGCGGUACGUGGCUGCAGGACAGAAUCUUGGUACUUCUCUGCCCCUUUGAUUUGUUUGGUUUUGUACAUUUUCUUAGCAAAGGACUGUAAGAAAAUAGCCACUUAGCCACUUUACCUCUUCAGUAUGCAAAUGUACAUACGGUGUAAGAUAGGAAAUCUUUUGUUUAAUAUAAAACCAGGCUGUCGAUUUCUGCUGUACAUUAUUAAAAGGUUGUUUUAUUCA